rnacentral:rRNA from 1 species
UACGUAGGGGGCUAGCGUUGUCCGGAAUCAUUGGGCGUAAAGAGCGUGUAGGCGGCCCGGUAAGUCCGCUGUGAAAGUCGGGGGCUCAACCCUCGGAUGCCGGUGGAUACUGUCGGGCUCGAGUACGGAAGAGGCGAGUGGAAUUCCUGGUGUAGCGGUGAAAUGCGCAGAUAUCAGGAGGAACACCUAUUGCGAAGGCAGCUCGCUGGGACGUUACUGACGCUGAGACGCGAAACGUGGGGAGCAAACAGG